AGGUCCUGACUGCCAGUGAACCAGGCAAUGAUUCACAGGUGGAGAGAUAGUCUGGGCAGCACCAAGCCGACAACUAUUAUGAUUAUGAGUAGGGAUGAUUAUCGAGAACAGACAUAACUGCAUAUCAUCCAAACCAUCUCUAAAUGAAUGGCUGCAAGGAUCCAGGAUCAAGAGAUCAUCCAUCAUGAAAACUGUGUUUCAUAGGAAUCAGUGAAUCCUGGGCCUGCCUGACCAUUCUGU